AACCUGCCCCAUAGUCUGGGAUACCACUUGGAAACAGGUGCUAAUACCGGAUAAGAAAGCAGAUCGCAUGAUCAGCUUUAAAAGGCGGCGUAAGCUGUCGCUAUGGGAUGGCCCCNCGGUGCAUUAGCUAGUUGGUAAGGUAAAGGCUUACCAAGGCGAUGAUGCAUAGCCGAGUUGAGAGACUGAUCGGCCACAUUGGGACUGAGACACGGCCCAAACUCCUACGGGAGGGCAGCAGCA
rnacentral:rRNA from 1 species